rnacentral:piRNA from 1 species
UGGGAAACUCUGUGAUGUAAAGCGUGAUU